UGAGGAAUAUUGGGCAAUGCCCGCAAGGGUGACCCAGCAACGCCGCGUGGAGGAUGAAUGUCGUAAGAUUGUAAACUCCUGUUAGAGGGGAAGAAUAGUACCGGUUGGACCGGUAUAUGACUGUACCCUCAGAGAAAGCCCCGGCUAACUACGUGCCAGCAGCCGCGGUAAUACGUAGGGGGCAAGCGUUGUCCGGAUUUACUGGGUGUAAAGGGCGCGCAGGCGGGAUAAAAAGUCAGUGGUGAAAUCCUACAGCUUAACUGUAGAACUGCCUUUGAUACUUUUAUUCUUGAGUGCGGGAGAGAGAGACGGAAUUCCAGGGGUAGUGGUGAAAUACGUAGAGAUCUGGAAGAACACCAGUUGCGAAGGCGGUCUCUUGGUCCGACACUGACGCUGAGGCGCGAAAGCGUGGGGAGCAAACA
rnacentral:rRNA from 1 species